UCAAAUAUCAUUUGGUGGCAAAAAUUAAUAGAAUAAGUCAUUUUAUUUUUCAUUACAGCUUACAACUCUGUACGCUAAAACAACCAUACAUAAGAGUGGUUUGUUCCCACACAGGCCAUCACUGUGUUGGGACUGGGAACAAUCACUGUGCAAUCACCUGUAAAUUAUAAAUUAUUAUUCUCACUGUUCACGUUUAGAUUUUUGUUAUUUUAAUUUGUACUCAUGCAACAAGAUUGGACAUUUCACUAAUUUUGUAUAGUAGUAACUAGUAAAUAAAAACAAUGUCACGUGACUCACAAUUUACGUACGUGACUCAUAAUUUACGUACGUGACGUCAGAGUACGUCGUCAUGGUUUCACCGCUGUCUAACGUUUAAAUAAAGUGGAUAAAACUUCACGAAUUUAGCUCAAAACGUUAAAACACGUUUGUAUGUUGAACUGAUUUAGAAAUAAUUCACACUCAAGGUUUUUUAUAAACCGUGAAGAAUGACGGAGAGGAGCUGGAGAGGAGCUUUUUUUGAGGGAAACACCUGAACACAGUUCUCAGGAACCACUGGCCGCCAGCCUGCCGCCUCUGCAAACUGACAGAGUCUGGACAGCAGGGGAGGGUGGAGUAUUCCUCCAGGGGGGGCUGGGACACUUCCAGCUGGUCUGCUGAGGUGUGGAGCUCGCCUCGGGGUAAGCCUCUCGUACUCUCUUCAAGGGAAAAUUCCCCUUUCCUCCGUUUUCCAUCGGCCGCCUCAUAACUCAAAAAGACACACUUUAUUUCAUUUUGGAGGCAGCAGUGGAAGAUUUGCCCAAACGGCAUGAAGGUGUUGCUGUCUGAGGGAACCCACGGUGAUGGACAGUGAACCCAAUGAACAGGCCACACGCCUUCUUGUUUCUGCCUGUGUGUCAUGGUGAAUAUCCACGGGGUCAGGCAAGAACCCUCCCGACCCAUCAGCAGGUCUCACACGGCCUCAACACCUCUGCCGAGCAGCAUCCACAAACAACAACUCUGCCCGUGGCUACAAACAAGGCGAAGCACAUCAGAGCACAAUACAGAACCAUUUCAAACUCACCAGGAGCUGCAGUCCCCCCCAAGUAAAGUCAAAGAUGAUGGAAUGGUCUUCAUAAAGAAUAAUGCUGCAUUCAAACCAUGUUAGACAGCCUCACAUUGUUACAACCUAUGACCCCCCACUGCUAGUCAGAACUUCAACAAGUUUAAGCAGUUAUAAAUAUAGUUUAAAGGCUAUGUAGCUCCAUUCCAAGUCACAGAAUUGACUGAUUUUCAUUGAACUGUUCAUGAUGAUAAUUUUCACACUUCUGUAGUUCCUCUAGCCAAAUUGGACACAUUGAGAACUUCUGAAAUGCUCCAUAUCUCCUCACAAUUUACCUCACACAAAUGUUUUUUUCCCAUCUGGCUGUCCGUAUUUAUAUCUACAGGAUAUAAAUGGAGCAUAAACAAUAAGAUUGGCUGUUCUCAAAAGCACAUGCUCCUUGAAAUCAGAUUGGAAGGAAGGGUAUUUCUUUCAACUUUGCCUUCUGGCCUUUUG